rnacentral:rRNA from 1 species
AGACUUUGAUCCUGGCUCAGGAUGAACGCUAGCUACAGGCUUAACACAUGCGAGUCGAGGGGAAACGACAUCGAAAGCUUGCUUUUGAUGGGCGUCGACCGGCGCACGGGUGAGUAACGCGUAUCCAACCUGCCCACCACUUGGGGAUAACCUUGCGAAAGUAAGACUAAUACCCAAUGAUAUCUCUAGAAGACAUCUGAAAGAGAUUAAAGAUUUAUCGGUGAUGGAUGGGGAUGCGUCUGAUUAGCUUGUUGGCGGGGUAACGGCCCACCAAGGCGACGAUCAGUAGGGGUUCUGAGAGGAAGGUCCCCCACAUUGGAACUGAGACACGGUCCAAACUCCUACGGGAGGCAGCAGUGAGGAAUAUUGGUCAAUGGGCGAGAGCCUGAACCAGCCAAGUAGCGUGCAGGAUGACGGCCCUAUGGGUUGUAAACUGCUUUUAUAAGGGAAUAAAGUGAGACUCGUGAGGCUUUUUGCAUGUACCUUAUGAAUAAGGACCGGCUAAUUCCGUGCCAGCAGCCGCGGUAAUACGGAAGGUCCGGGCGUUAUCCGGAUUUAUUGGGUUUAAAGGGAGCGUAGGCCGGAGAUUAAGCGUGUUGUGAAAUGUAGACGCUCAACGUCUGCACUGCAGCGCGAACUGGUUUCCUUGAGUACGCACAAAGUGGGCGGAAUUCGUGGUGUAGCGGUGAAAUGCUUAGAUAUCACGAAGAACUCCGAUUGCGAAGGCAGCUCACUGGAGCGCAACUGACGCUGAAGCUCGAAAGUGCGGGUAUCGAACAGGAUUAGAUACCCUGGUAGUCCGCACGGUAAACGAUGGAUGCCCGCUGUUGGUCUGAAUAGGUCAGCGGCCAAGCGAAAGCAUUAAGCAUCCCACCUGGGGAGUACGCCGGCAACGGUGCAACUGAAAGGAAUUGACGGA